GCAAGUCGAGCGCUCUCUUCGGAGGGAGCGGCGGACGGGUUAGUAACGCGUGGGAACGUACCCUUUUCUAAGGAAUAGCCUCGGGAAACUGAUAGUAAUACCUUAUACGCCCUUCGGGGGAAAGAUUUAUCGGAGAAGGAUCGGCCUGCGUUAGAUUAGAUAGUUGGUGGGGUAACGGCCUACCAAGUCUACGAUCUAUAGCUGGUUUUAGAGGAUGAUC
rnacentral:rRNA from 1 species